UACGAAGGGUGCUAGCGUUGUUCGGAAUCACUGGGCGUAAAGGGCGCGUAGGCGGCUCAUGAAGGCUGUGGUGAAAGUCCGGGGCUCAACCUCGGAUCGGCCGUGGCGACUCGUGGGCUGGAGCACUGUAGAGGCGGGUGGAAUUCCGGGUGUAGCGGUGGAAUGCGUAGAGAUCCGGAAGAACACCAGUGGCGAAGGCGGCCCGCUGGGCAGUGGCUGACGCUGAAGCGCGACAGCGUGGGGAGCAAACAGG
rnacentral:rRNA from 1 species